UCGAGAAUUUUUCACAAUGGGCGCAAGCCUGAUGGAGCGACGCCGCGUGGGGGAUGAAGGGCUUCGGCUCGUAAACCCCUGUCAGUCGCGAACAAACCUUCCGGGUGAACAGCCCGGAAGUUGAUGGUAGCGAAAGAGGAAGGGACGGCUAACUCUGUGCCAGCAGCCGCGGUAAUACAGAGGUCCCAAGCGUUGUUCGGAUUUACUGGGCGUAAAGGGUGCGUAGGCGGUUGGGUAAGGCUGAUGUGAAAUCCCCGGGCCCAACCCGGGAACGGCAUUAGAAACUGCCUGGCUGGAGGGUUGGAGGGGGGACUGGAAUUCCCGGUGUAGCAGUGAAAUGCGUAGAUAUCGGGAGGAACGCCAGUGGCGAAGGCGAGUCCCUGGACAACACCUGACGCUGAGGCACGAAAGCUAGGGGAGCAAACA
rnacentral:rRNA from 1 species